rnacentral:rRNA from 1 species
CUUUUGAUUAUAAUUUAAGGUCUAACCUGCCCAAUGAAAUAGAUUUAAUGGCCGCAGUAUUUUGACUGUGCAAAGGUAGCAUAAUAAUUAGUUUUUUAAUUAAAAGCUUGUAUGAAAGGUUGAAUGAGAAAAUAGCUGUCUCUAUUAAAUUUAAUUAGAAUUUUAUUUUUAAGUUAAAAAGCUUAAAUAAUUAUAGUAGACGAGAAGACCCUAUAGAGUUUUAUACUUUUAUAAGUUAAAUUUUAGUAUUAUAAUUUUAAUAUUAAAAGAAGUAUUUAAUUGGGGUGAUUAAAAAAUUUAAUAAACUUUUUUUGUAUAAAAUCAUUAAUUUAUGAAAAUAUGAUCCUUAAAUAAAGAUUAUAAGAUAAAAUUACCUUAGGGAUAACAGCGUAAUUUUUUUUUAGAGUUCUAAUCGAAAAAAAAGGUUGCGACCUCGAUGUUGGAUUAAAAUAAAAUUUUGGUGUAGCGGCUAAA